AUUGUCAGCUUGAACAAGCACAAGCAACAGUGAGAACUUGUUUUUUUAUCUCCUGUGUAAGAAAAUAAUGAAGGCAUUUCUGCUCUGGGUCUACAUAAAGGAUGUUCUGGAGAUGAAAAUGAAUAGAGUCAAAUUGAGGUGAGUCGAGAUUGAUGGCUGUGCAUUCAUUCUUUAAAAACUGACAGCCUUCUUUUUUAUCCUGGAAUAUUUGUCAUCAUUCAUCAAGGUGGAUACAAAUUUUAACAGGAUAUUACAGAUAUUCAGAAAAGAUGUGAUUAUUCCUGAGAAUGGAACCAAGAAAAGAAAGGCAAAGACUAUAGCAGGAAAAUUGUCUGGAUGGAUAUUUCUCUUUUGUGGCAUCUGCUCAGAAAACAUUGAUAUGCUUAAUUGGGAUGUUCUGGAGGUGGACUGCAAACUUUAUUUCCUUUUCUUCAUCAGUUCCUUGUUUUUCCACCAUGUGGAGGGAGUAAAGUUAAAGGAUAGUGUAUCUUGGAGGAAAACAAUGGAGAUUUUGUAGCACUGCAGUUUGGUUUACUUUCCUGUUUUUCUGACAAGAUUCCAUUUAAGGAUUGUAAACAAAUGUAAUGGAUGGCUCAUCAGAAAUGAGCAGACAUGGAAAAAGUCCGGUAAGCCACAAGUUGGAAGAUCAG